rnacentral:rRNA from 1 species
AAAGAUUAAGCCAUGCAUGUCUAAGUAUAAGCAAUUAUACAGCGAAACUGCGAAUGGCUCAUUAAAUCAGUUAUCGUUUAUUUGAUAGUACCUUACUACAUGGAUAACCGUGGUAACUCUAGAGCUAAUACAUGCUAAAAAUCCCGACUUCGGAAGGGAUGUAUUUAUUAGAUUAAAACCAAUGCCUUCGGCUCCUUGGUGAUUCAUGAUAACUUUACGAGUCGCAUGGCCUUGCGCCGGCGAUGGUUCAUUCAAAUUUCUGCCCUAUCAACUUUCGAUGGUAGGAUAGUGGCCUACCAUGGUUU